UACGUAGGGUGCAAGCGUUAAUCGGAAUUACUGGGCGUAAAGCGUGCGCAGGCGGUUUUUGUAAGUCAGAUGUGAAAUCCCCCGGGCUUAACCUGGGAACUGCGUUUGAAACUACAAGGCUAGAGUGUGGCAGAGGGGGGGUGGAAUUCCACGUGUAGCAGUGAAAUGCGUAGAGAUGUGGAGGAACACCGAUGGCGAAGGCAGCCCCCUGGGCUAACACUGACGCUCAUGCACGAAAGCGUGGGGAGCAAACAGG
rnacentral:rRNA from 1 species